rnacentral:rRNA from 1 species
UACGUAGGUGGCAAGCGUUGUCCGGAAUUACUGGGCGUAAAGGGCGCGUAGGCGGUUUUUUAAGUCAGAUGUGAAAACCCGGGGCUUAACUUCGGGAGUGCAUUUGAAACUGGGGAACUAGAGUGCAGGAGAGGAAAGCGGAAUUCCUAGUGUAGCGGUGAAAUGCGUAGAUAUUAGGAGGAACACCAGUGGCGAAGGCGGCUUUCUGGACUGUAACUGACGCUGAGGCGCGAAAGCGUGGGGAG